rnacentral:rRNA from 1 species
UUUAUGAGAGUUUGAUCCUGGCUCAGGACGAACGCUGGCGGCGUGCCUAAUACAUGCAAGUCGUACGCUUCUUUUUCCACCGGAGCUUGCUCCACCGGAAAAAGAAGCGUGGCGAACGGGUGAGUAACACGUGGGUAACCUGCCCAUCAGAAGGGGAUAACACUUGGAAACAGGUGCUAAUAC